AUGGCAAAGAUUAUCUUGACUUUAGAUUCAGACACUGAUUCGUGGACAGUGUUGAUGCCAGAGGCACAGGAUCUAAAGAAGUCAUGGACACUUAAGGCCGAGCAAGCGAGUCUAGAGAAAAUUCACCUGAAACAAGAGUGUGAGGAAUCCAUUAAACAGUGGAAUGACACCCAGAAUCAAGAAGGUCUGGGUGUGUUAAGAGUGAUAUUUCCAGUUCUCGCCACUAUUCUCUUCAUUGGACUCGUCUUAAUAAGCUUCCUUAUCUUCAAGCGACACGGUGAGCAAAAGACUGGAAUCAUGUGCUGUCGUGUGUAUUUGGGAAAACACCACUGCAAACCAGUCAAACCACUACCAAUGAUUUUUUUUAAAUGGAUAAAUUAAUAAUCAUUAUGAACAUGUUUUGUAAAAUGUGUUUUGUUUGGUGUCAGUCACAUGUAACAAGGGUCAUUCUCCUUUCUUUGCCUUGCUCUUCCUCUUUUGCUCGAUGCAGGCCAUCAGCCAGGAGGUGAGAUAUUUUAAAUUGUUUACCAAAAGCUUUAAUUGCUGCAAUAUAAAGGCUGACAGAAGAUUAAAUAUUGACGUUUAUAUAGCUGUCCCUGUGGACUGGAUGGCAUUCAGUGAUCUAAGGUUCCCAGACGCAGACGUACUGUAGGCCAUGUCUUAUUAUCCUAAAUUAAUAGUACAACUUGGUUUACAAAAUACUGAAUAUUCAUGUAUUCAAAUCAGAGCUGUUUAAGGGUGUAUGUUCACCUUAUAUUUAACUACUUUGGCCACACUUUACAUUACAAUGUUACAGUGUAAUUAAAAAUAACUUGCUUUAUAUGGUCACAUUACAGUAAAAAAUAUAUAUAUUAUUAACUUUGCUUAAGGUUACAGCAACAAAAAUGUCCUUCGGUAAUUGUUCUUGUAGGUCUCACAGAAAGUAAAUACAAAACCUAAGUAAUAAACACAUAAAUAAAACAAAAAUAGAGAAGAUCUUUGAUGGAUUUUUAUAAUCAGCUGAACUCUCUGACAGCACCCAUUCAAGGUUAACACCUUUGAACUAGCCCAGUUGGAUGUGUAAAAGUAUACCAGACAGGUUUGUCCACAUGUUUUUAUGCUGUUGUCUAUCAGCUGUGUAAUUUUAUGGCUUUCUUCUAGGUGUUUUAGGCUCAAUUAUCCAUUAUCCAGCCCAUCAUCUUGAAGUACCAUUGGACAGACAGAGCCAAAAGAACAUCGCUCAAGUCCCAGUGCUAAAGGGUCCCUAAAGAUGUUUUGCUUGAAAUGAUCUUGAAACCUUUUUUUUUUUAAUUGUUAAUAUCAGGGGUGGAUUAAGGUGGUCAGGGGCCCCUAGGCUGCUCUUUGUGUGAGGCCCCCCUUAAUCAUUAUGCUUUACUGAAUAAAUUUAUUUAGUGCCAUACAUGGUCCACACACACAUAGUAAGGUGAACUGGCAUACACACACACACACACACACACACACAUUGAGACAGCCAAUCCUACAGUGUUUCCUCUACAUUCCCAGUGUCUCCACAGGAUUUUGUGAAACUUUGAUGGGUGCACAUUGGUUCCUCAAGUCUAGGGAGUUCUGCGGGUAUAAGAAAAUUAUGAAAAGAAAAAUUUAUUUAAUUAAUCAUCAUGUAAUAAAUGUCAUUUGAGUUCUACUUUCUGAGUAUGAAUUAUCAUAUGCAGUAAAAACAACAACACUCAAGCACUGUAAAAGGUUUUGUCUUAUCUCUUGUAUGAUUUCAUAUGAGUCUCUUCAGACCUUAGAACUGUACAUGAAUUAUGAGCUUCUAGAACGUUUGACCUCCUAACUGAACGCCUUUUCACAAAUUGAACAUAGAAAUAAAUAACAGUAUAAAUAACAAAAAAUAAACAACAGUUCUUUCUUAGUUGUAUUAAGUGCGAACAAUAAGUGCUUUCUCUAUAUUCAAAGUGCAAAUAGAGACCAAUUUUUCAAGCAUGAUGCAGAGCUAUAGACAGCUACACAACCUAUUAUAGCCUAAUAACAGCCUAGAUAUGUUAUGUAGCCUAAUUCGGGGUAUUAAAAUCGCUUUUGAAUGCGUGUGCGCAUUUUACUUUCAGUUUCGGUGCUGAGCAUGCAUUCUACAACACAAGACUUUAAUUUUGUCAGAAGCUCUGCUAACAAAUCCUACUUUGAUGUUUCUUAGAUGUUUCUUAUGGGCCAGUGAGGGUCUUUUCUGUUCACGCUGAAGAAAAUGUAAAAUUAUAAAAAAAGAAAAAAAGUCCAGGCAAUCCGAGGCCCCUUUUUAUUUUGUUAUUUUUUACUGUAAUUGUGUUUUUAUGCUACUGAUAUUCUACAGUUUUUAUAUAGCACAAUCUGAUUCAUUUUCUUGUGUUUAAUGUCAGCUAAACACAAUUUUUUUGAUGUGACAUUUUUUUUCUUUUCCCCACUGUGUGAAACAUCUGAUAUCAUAUUUAAAAGCAUCUGCUUACCAAGAGAUUUUGUUGUAUCUGACACUAGCAUUAAUUAUAUUGCAAAUUCAUGCAAAAAGACCAAAAUCUCAUGAUAGAUCUGCUCUUUUAUUAUUCAUUGCACUUAUUUAUUUUUUCAUUGUAAUUAAGAUGGAAUACUUUUAUUUUAACUGUAAUGCUUUAUAAGUGUUGAAUUAUGUAAUAACAUUAAAUAAUUGUUAAAUAAAUUGUUUUAUAAACCAAUAAAUGUAUUAAAAAUUAUUAUUAUAUUAUUGUAUUAUAUUAUUAAUUAUUAUAAUUGUUGUAAUUAUCAUUAUUAUUGUUUAUGAUAAUAAAGCUAAUGCAUAAAAAUAAAACUAUUUAUGUGAAAACUAUUUUUGGACAUAACACAAAUUCACAUUUAUGCAUUUGCCUUGUUUGUCUUUCUCCUUUUGACUGUGAUUCCCAGCAGACAGACCUAACUAGGCCAGCUUAAUAUUUUAUUACGGUGUUCAGAUUCAUUAUGAUAGAACAAUAUAAAGUAGCCUACUAAAAGACAUACGAAAAGACGAAAGAAUAUCAACUACAUGUAGCAUUCAUGUAGAGUCUGUAAUUAUAACAAUGGUCUUUGAUGUUUCUAGUUAUUCAUAUGAUAUAUGCAUGGCUCAGUAAGCACUAUAGAGGACCAAGUUACAUUUACCGAGUGUACUGUUGAAGUACACUUAACCUUGGUCAAGAGAGAGGAAUGUUGUCGUGUCAAAUUGCCUCUUUUUAUCUCACAUUACAUCACAUCCUUUGCGGUAGGUUGUGUUUCUGCCGGAAGAGUGUGCUGGAAGUUCAAAGAUAUUUUCUUAUAGUUAUCAAAACUACAUAAUUUAAAAGCACCUGCACAUUUUCACUUAUAUAUCCUGCUAGUUCCAUGACGUUUGUCGAAUCAAAUAUUAUGUUUCUAGUGUUUUAUGAGUGUCGGAACGAUUUUACAAGAUGUUACAUCACGCGAGUUUCCACACGGACAUUUUAUUGGCUGGACAGUAACAGCUCAUACAGAAACAAAACCGACUAGCAACAGCAGUCUAUGAAAUUCUGCUCACAUUGGCUUCUACAUAAGUUUUCUCUUCAUUAUUGUUUUUGAAGACUUACGCGAGAAGAUGGGAGUUCCUAAAUUUUUAUCGCUGGAUAUCGGAGCGGUAUCCUUGUCUGAGUGAAGUUGUCAAAGAGCAUCAGGUGAGCUAGUUUGGCUAAAUAUAACAGGCCGCGAAGAGCUCAUUUACAGCUCUGAGAACAGCAGCUCAAACCAUACACUUAAAAGACACCAAAACCUUCGUUUUGUUGUCCCUCCACCGCGAAUAUGUUCGGUAUAGAGGGGAAUUUUAUCUUUAUGAUUUAGCGACAUUCUAUAAGGUAACGUACAUAAUAAUGAAUGUGUCUCAAAAUGUGAUGAGCUGUCUACCUAGUCAGCACUUUACGCAUCGUAGGCGAUUUCAGACGAGCUAUCAUCAUAAUUACCCGAUCAGCUGUGACGAAUAAUGGGCAGAACACCACAAGCUCAAACAGUAGCAGGGGAUUUAAGAACCCAAUCAACAUUUCUGAACAUUAUUCGGAACGCCCCUAUGAAGCCCAAAUAUGCCCCCUAGGUUUUGAGAGAGUGAUGUUACUAGUUGCCGUUUACACUUGGUAAUUUAUUGAAAGGUGAAGACCCACCAUCAAGCUUUCCUUGUCAGAAUGACUGUUAAACAUAUUUUGCUGCACUGUUUUAAAUAUUAAUAAUCAACGUUUUUAUUCAGAGAUAUGUUUGACUGAUGUAAUUAUCAGCUGAAUGUAACUUAGAAUUAUUGAUUUAAUUAUUUAUCUGAAAUGCUUUAUAGAGCUUUUUGUUAAUUGUAUGACUCCUGUUACUCACUUUGUUCUGGCCAUGAAGGUGCAUAUAUAUAAAUACAUAAAUAAGUUAUCAUAAAUCAUAAUAAUAAA
rnacentral:lncRNA from 1 species